rnacentral:rRNA from 1 species
GAUGAACGCUGGCGGCGUGCCUAAUACAUGCAAGUCGAGCGAACAGACGAGGAGCUUGCUCCUCUGACGUUAGCGGCGGACGGGUGAGUAACACGUGGAUAACCUACCUAUAAGACUGGGAUAACUUCGGGAAACCGGAGCCAAUACCGGAUAAUAUAUUGAACCGCAUGGUUCAAUAGUGAAAGACGGUUUUGCUGUCACUUAUAGAUGGAUCCGCGCCGCAUUAGCUAGUUGGUAAGGUAACGGCUUACCAAGGCAACGAUGCGUAGCCGACCUGAGAGGGUGAUCGGUCACACUGGAACUGAGACACGGUCCAGACUCCUACGGGAGGCAGCAGUAGGGAAUCUUCCGCAAUGGGCGAAAGCCUGACGGAGCAACGCCGCGUGAGUGAUGAAGGUCUUCGGAUCGUAAAACUCUGUUAUUAGGGAAGAACAAAUGUGUAAGUAACUAUGCACGUCUUGACGGUACCUAAUCAGAAAGCCACGGCUAACUACGUG